UACGUAGGGUGCGAGCGUUGUCCGGAAUUACUGGGUUUAAAGGGUGCGUAGGCGGGCAGGUAAGUCCGUGGUGAAAUCUCUGAGCUUAACUCAGAAACUGCCAUGGAUACUAUUUGUCUUGAAUAUUGUGAGGUAAGCGGAAUAUGGUCAUGUAGCGGUGAAAUGCUUAGAUAUGACAUAGAACACCAAUUGCGAAGGCAGCUUACUACACAGUUAUUGACCGCUGAGGCACGAAAGCGUGGGGAUCAAACGGAAUU
rnacentral:rRNA from 1 species